rnacentral:rRNA from 1 species
UACGUAGGUGGCAAGCGUUGUCCGGAUUUAUUGGGUUUAAAGGGUGCGUAGGCGGUCUAAUAAGUCAGUGGUGAAAUAUCCCGGCUUAACCGGGAGGGUGGCAUUGAUACUGUUGGACUUGAGUAGAGUUGAGGUUGGCGGAAUUGACGGUGUAGCGGUGAAAUGCUUAGAUAUCGUCAAGAACACCGAUAGUGAAGACAGCUAACUAAGCUCAAACUGACGCUGAGGCACGAAAGUGUGGGGAUCAAACAGG